UACGGAGGAUGCAAGCGUUAUCCGGAAUGAUUGGGCGUAAAGCGUCCGCAGGUGGCUAUGUAAGUCUGCUGUUAAAGAGUGAGGCUCAACCUCAUAAGAGCAGUGGAAACUACAUGGCUAGAGUGCGUUCGGGGCAGAGGGAAUUCCUGGUGUAGCGGUGAAAAUGCGUAGAGAUCAGGAAGAACACCGGUGGCGAAGGCGGCCCCCCUGGUUGGAUACUGACGCUGAGACGCGAAAAGCUAGGGGGAGCGAACGGG
rnacentral:rRNA from 1 species